UACGGGAGGCAGCAGUGGGGAAUAUUGCACAAUGGGCGAAAGCCUGAUGCAGCUAUGCCGCGUGUAUGAAGAAGGCCUUAGGGUUGUAAAGUACUUUCAUCGGGGAGGAAAAAACAAAACUAAUAAUUUUAUUUCUUGACGUUACCCGAAAAAGAAGCACCGGCUAACUCCGUGCCAGCAGCCGCGGUAAUACGGAGGGUGCUAGCGUUAAUCAGAAUUACUGGGCGUAAAAGAGCACGUAGGUGGUUUUUUUAAGUCAGAUGUGAAAUCCCUGGGCUUAACCUAGGAACUGCAUUUUGAAACUGAAAUACUAGAGUAUCGUAGAGGGAGGUAGAAAUUCUAGGUGUAGCGGUGAAAUGCGUAGAUAUCUGGAGGAAUACCUGUGGCGAAAGCGGCCUCCUAAACGAAUACUGACACUGAGGUGCGAAAAGCGUGGGGAGCGAAAACAGGGAUUAGAUACC
rnacentral:rRNA from 1 species